UUUUUUAAAAUUUUAUUCCUCAAAUUAAACCCUAAAAAUCCCAAAUCCCCGAACUCCAAGCCCCUUUCUUUUACCUACGGCCUACCCCAGCCGCAGUCCGCAGCCCGCAGCCCGCAGCCAGCUGCUCUUUCCCUUAACCCGAGUCUCCGACGGAAAUCUGAUAGAGGUCCAUCUUCUCCGGCCUUUAGCCCCUAGUGUCCGGUGAUUCAGCUCAUAGUCUUAGACGGAAAUCUGGAUCCUCAAUCCAGGAAACUGAUUGGGAUAGGCCGUAGAGAGGGUGACAUGUUUGUUUUGGAUGAGCUGCGUGUUCCUAAUUAUGUGGCAGCAUCGAGAGUGAUCCAAGUAGGCGAGCAGAUCAGGCUCGCAGGUAGAGGGGCGUUUGUAGUGCCCUGAUAGCAAAGUGAGUACAGUGGAGGGUUUUUGUAUUUGCCCUAACUAGCUGAGGGCAAUUUUGGGGAUUUAGUAACAUAUGUAUAUAUUCUUUUGGGAAACAUGAUAGCACUCUGGUAUUGUACAGUAUGGUAUAUCAUUAUGUAUGGAAAUGUUUAUUUGUAUUA